CCGGAGUGCUUGCACUUUGGCAGACUGAGUGGCGGACGGGUGAGUAACGCGUGGGUAACCUGCCUUAUACAGGGGGAUAACAGUUGGAAACGGCUGCUAAUACCGCAUAAGCGCACAGUACCGCAUGGCACAGUGUGAAAAACUCCGGUGGUACAGGAUGGGCCCGCAUCUGAUUAGCUGGUUGGUGAGGUAACGGCCCACCAAGGCGACGAUCAGUAGCCGACCUGAGAGGGUGACCGGCCACAUUGGGACUGAGACACGGCCCAAACUCC
rnacentral:rRNA from 1 species